ACUCCUACGGGAGGCAGCAGUGGGGAAUAUUGGACAAUAGGGCGAAAGCCUGAUCCAGCCAUGCCGCGUGUGUGAAGAAGGUCUUCGGAUUGUAAAGCACUUUAAGUUGGGAGGAAGGGUUGUAGAUUAAUACUCUGCAAUUUUGACGUUACCGACAGAAUAAGCACCGGCUAACUCUGUGCCAGCAGCCGCGGUAAUACAGAGGGUGCAAGCGUUAAUCGGAAUUACUGGGCGUAAAGCGCGCGUAGGUGGUUCGUUAAGUUGGAUGUGAAAUCCCCGGGGCUCAACCUGGGAACUGCAUUCAAAACUGUCGAGCUAGAGUAUGGUAGAGGGUGGUGGAAUUUCCUGUGUAGCGGUGAAAUGCGUAGAUAUAGGAAGGAACACCAGUGGCGAAGGCGACCACCUGGACUGAUACUGACACUGAGGUGCGAAAGCGUGGGGAGCGAAACAGGAUUAGAUACCCUGGUAGGAUAGCG
rnacentral:rRNA from 1 species